rnacentral:rRNA from 1 species
UACGUAGGGUGCAGGCGUUAAUCGGAAUUACUGGGCGUAAAGCGUGCGUAGACGGUUACAUAAGUCAGAUGUGAAAGCCCCGGGCUCAACCUGGGAAUUGCAUUUGAGACUGCAUAGCUAGGGUGCGGAAGAGGGAAGCGGAAUUUCCGGUGUAGCGGUGAAAUGCGUAGAUAUCGGAAGGAACACCAGUGGCGAAAGCGGCUUCCUGGUCCAGCACCGACGUUCAGGCACGAAAGCGUGGGGAGCAAACAGG